UACGUAGGGGGCAAGCGUUGUCCGGAUUUAUUGGGCGUAAAGAGCGUGUAGGCGGCUUGGUAGGUCUCGCGUCAAAACCUGAGGCUCAACCUCAGUUCGCGUGGGAAACCACCUAGCUAGAGUCCGGAAGAGGAGAACGGAAUUCCCAGUGUAGCGGUGGAAUGCGCAGAUAUCAGGAGGAACACCGGUGGCGAAGGCGGGUCUCUGGGCAGUAACUGACGCUGAGGAGCGAAAGCGUGGGGAGCGAACAGG
rnacentral:rRNA from 1 species